rnacentral:rRNA from 1 species
GACGAACGCUGGCGGCGUGCCUAACACAUGCAAGUCGAGCGAUGAAGUUUUCUUCGGAAAACGGAUUAGCGGCGGACGGGUGAGUAACACGUGAGUAACCUGCCUCAAAGAGGGGGAUAGCCUUCCGAAAGGAAGAUUAAUACCGCAUAAUAUCAGAUGGUCGCAUGGCCGGCUGAUUAAAGGAGCAAUCCGCUUUGAGAUGGACUCGCGGCGCAUUAGCUAGUUGGUGAGGUAACGGCUCACCAAGGCGACGAUGCGUAGCCGACCUGACGAGGGUG